GACGAACGCUGGCGGCGUGCUUAACACAUGCAAGUCGAACGGAAAGGCCCUGCUAUUGUGGGGUGCUCGAGUGGCGAACGAGUGAGUCACACGUGCGUAACCUGCCCUUGACUACGGCAUCACUUCAGGACACUUGGGACCAUAUCGGAUAGGAGCUCCUGCUGCAUGGUGGGGGUUGGAAAGUUUCGGCGGUUGGGGAUGAACUGGCGGCUUAUCAGCUUGUCGGUGGGGUAGUGACUUACCAAGGCUUUGACGAGUAGCCGGCCUGAGAGGGUGACCGGCCACAUUGGGACGGAGAAGCGGCCCAGACUACUACGAGGGGCAGCAGUGGGGAAUAAUGCACAAUGGGCGGAGACCUGAUGCAGCAACGCCGCGUGCGGGAUGACGGCCUUCGGGUUGUAGACCGCUUUCGCCUGUGACGAAGCGGGAGUGACGGUAAUGGGUAAAGAAGCACCGGCUAACUACGUG
rnacentral:rRNA from 1 species